CCAGAGUAUCAAUUGGAGGGCAAGUCUGGUGCCAGCAGCCGCGGUAAUUCCAGCUCCAAUAGCGUAUAUUAAACUUGUUGCAGUUAAAAAGCUCGUAGUUGAAUUUCUGCUGCAUCGUGGUUCUUCGCUAUGUCGAGUGAUCUUCGUUGUGGCUUAUUUGGGGCAUGUUUUCAUGACUCGACUUUUACUUUGAGAAAAUUAGAGUGCU
rnacentral:rRNA from 1 species